AAAGUAGCUUGCUACUUUUGCCGGCGAGUGGCGAACGGGUGAGUAAUGUAUCGGAACGUGCCCAGUAGCGGGGGAUAACUACGCGAAAGCGUGGCUAAUACCGCAUACGCCCUACGGGGGAAAGGGGGGGAUCUUAGGACCUCUCACUAUUGGAGCGGCCGAUAUCGGAUUAGCUAGUUGGUGGGGUAAAGGCCUACCAAGGCGACGAUCCGUAGCUGGUUUGAGAGGACGACCAGCCACACUGGGACUGAGACACGGCCCAGACUCCUACGGGAGGCAGCAGUGGGGAAUUUUGGACAAUGGGGGAAACCCUGAUCCAGCCAUCCCGCGUGUGCGAUGAAGGCCUUCGGGUUGUAAAGCACUUUUGUCAGGGAAGAAAAGGUUUCGGAUAAUACCCGGAACUGAUGACGGUACCUGAAGAAUAAGCACCGGCUAACUACGUGCCAGCAGCCGCGGUAAUACGUAGGGUGCAAGCGUUAAUCGGAAUUACUGGGCGUAAAGCGUGCGCAGGCGGUUCGGAAAGAAAGAUGUGAAAUCCCAGGGCUCAACCUUGGAACUGCAUUUUUAACUACCGAACUAGAGUAUGUCAGAGGGGGGUGGAAUUCCACGUGUAGCAGUGAAAUGCGUAGAUAUGUGGAGGAACACCGAUGGCGAAGGCAGCCCCCUGGGAUAAUACUGACGCUCAUGCACGAAAGCGUGGGGAGCAAACAGGAUUAGAUACCCUGGUAGUCCACGCCCUAAACGAUGUCAACUAGCUGUUGGGCCCUUCGGGGCUUAGUAGCGCAGCUAACGCGUGAAGUUGACCGCCUGGGGAGUACGGUCGCAAGAUUAAAACUCAAAGGAAUUGACGGGGACCCGCACAAGCGG
rnacentral:rRNA from 1 species